CCUACGGGCGGCAGCAGUGGGGAAUAUUGCACAAUGGGGGAAACCCUGAUGCAGCAACGCCGCGUGAGUGAUGACGGCCUUCGGGUUGUAAAGCUCUGUCUUUAGGGACGAUAAUGACGGCACCUGUGGAGUAAGCCACGGCUAAAUACGGGCCAGCAGCCGCGGCAAUCCGUCGGUGGCGGGCGUUGUCCGGAUUUACUGGGCGUAAAGGGGGCGUAGGCGGACUUUUAAGUGAGAUGUGAAAUACUCGGGCUCAACUUGAGUGGUGCAUUUCAAACUGGAAGUCUAGAGUGCAGGAGAGGAAAAUGGAAUUCGUGGUGUAGCGGUGAAAUGCGUAGAGAUUAGGAAGAACACCAGUGGCGAAGGCGAUUCACUGGACUGUAACUGACGCUGAGGCACGAAAGCGUGGGGAGCAAACAGGAUUAGAUACCCCAGUAGUC
rnacentral:rRNA from 1 species